GAUGAACGCUGGCGGCGUGCCUAAUACAUGCAAGUCGAGCGAACGGACGAGAAGCUUGCUUCUCUGAUGUUAGCGGCGGACGGGUGAGUAACACGUGGAUAACCUACCUAUAAGACUGGGAUAACUUCGGGAAACCGGAGCUAAUACCGGAUGAUAUUUUGAACCGCAUGGUUCAAAAGUGAAAGACGGUCUUGCUGUCACUUAUAGAUGGAUCCGCGCUGCAUUAGCUAGUUGGUAAGGUAACGGCUUACCAAGGCAACGAUGCAUAGCCGACCUGAGAGGGUGAGCGGCCACACUGGAACUGAGACACGGUCCAGACUCCUACGGGAGGCAGCAGUAGGGAAUCUUCCGCAAAGGGCGAAAGCCUGACGGAGCAACGCCGCGUGAGUGAUGAAGGUCUUCGGAUCGUAAAACUCUGUUAUUAGGGAAGAACAUAUGUGUAAGUAACUGUGCACAUCUUGACGGUACCUAAUCAGAAAGCCACGGCUAACUACGUG
rnacentral:rRNA from 1 species